GACGCUCAGUGUUGGACGAGGCUCGGUAUUCCUUCCAAGAUCUGGGUCACCUAUUUCAAUUUUCAUGGUGUUGACCCAUUUCGAUUUUCAUGUGCAUUCGUUGAUGAGGAGGUUUGGUGGAAAGUUAUUUUGAUUCCCCGUUUCUAAAAGGAUAGAAACGAACAUGGAGCAUACACUAUUGUCUAAGCUAAAGGAAGGACAACGGGGUUACAAGAUCAAAGCCCGAGUUGUCAGAAUCUGGAAUUCUAUAAAUCCAACAUUUCAAGACCAACUCAUGAGUAUCGAUUUCCUAUUAGUUGACGAAGAGGUAAAUAGAAAUCAUUAUUCGUCAGAAAUGUUAGCAAACAUAUAUACAAUAACCAUAUCUUUAAAAUAAUGUCGUUUAAAAGAGCUUACAAAAACUUUAACAUGGUAUA